AACGGCCAUACCAUGCUGAAUAUACCGGUUCUCGUUAGAUCACCGAAGUCAAACAUCAUUGGGCGCGGACAGUACUUGGGUGGGUGACCAUCUGAGAACACCGCGUGCUGUUG
rnacentral:rRNA from 1 species